GGCGGCGUGCUUAACACAUGCAAGUCGUACGGGAACUCUUCUGCUUGCAGAAGAUAGUAAAGUGGCGCACGGGUGAGUAACGCGUGGGUAAUCUACCUCUGAAUCGGGGAUAACCCGCCGAAAGGCGAGCUAAUACCGGAUAAUAUCUUUAAAACUUAGGGUUUUUUAAGAUCAAAGGUGGUCUCUACAUGUAAGCUACUGUUUGGAGAUGAGCCCGCGUACCAUUAGCUUGUUGGUAGGGUAAUGGCCUACCAAGGCCGCGAUGGUUAGCUGGUCUGAGAGGAUGAUCAGCCACACUGGAACUGACACACGGUCCAGACUCCUACGGGAGGCAGCAGUGAGGAAUUUUGCGCAAUGGGGGAAACCCUGACGCAGCAACGCCGCGUGAGUGAUGAAGGCUUUCGGGUCGUAAAGCUCUGUCAAGUGGGAAGAACCUGCUCGAUGCUAAUACCAUAUAGCACUGACGGUACCACUAAAGGAAGCACCGGCUAACUCCGUG
rnacentral:rRNA from 1 species